CCUACGGGGGGCAGCCGUGAGGAAUAUUGGUCAAUGGACGAGAGUCUGAACCAGCCAAGUAGCGUUAAGGAUGACUGCCCUAUGGGUUGUAAACUUCUUUUAUAUGGGAAUAAAAUGUUCCACGUGUGGGAUUUUGUAUGUACCAUAUGAAUAAGGAUCGGCUAACUCCGUGCCAGCAGCCGCGGUAAUACGGAGGAUCCGAGCGUUAUCCGGAUUUAUUGGGUUUAAGGGGAGCGUAGGUGGAUUGUUAAGUCAGUUGUGAAAGUUUGCGGCUCAACCGUAAAAGUGCAGUUGAAACUGGCAGUCUGGAGUACAGUAGAGGUGGGCGGAAUGCGUGGUGUAGCGGUGAAAUGCUUAGAUAUCACGAAGAACUCCGAUUGCGAAGGCAGCUCACUGGACUGCAACUGACACUGAGGCACGAAAGUGUGGGUAUCAAACAGGAUUAGAUACCCUGGUAGUC
rnacentral:rRNA from 1 species